rnacentral:rRNA from 1 species
AGAGUUCGAUCCUAUCUCAGGAUGAACACUGACGGGAUACUUAACACAUGCAAAUCAGAUGGGAAACACGAGAAAUGGUUUUUCCAGUGGCGGACGGGUGAGUAACGCAUAAGAACCUGCUCUUGGGAGGGGAACAACAGCUGGAAAUGGCUGCUAAUACCCCGUAGACUGAGGAGCAAAAGGAGGAAUCCACCCGAGGAGGGGCUCACGUCUGAUUAGCUAGUUGGUGAGGCAAUAGCUUACCAAGGCAAUGAACAGUAGCUGGUCCGAGAGGAUGAUCAGCCACACUAGGACUGAGACACGGCCCAGACUCCUACGAGAGGCAGCAGUGGGGAAUUUUAUGCAAUGAGCGAAUGCCUGACAGAGCAAUGCCGUGUAUAGGUAGAAGGCCCACGAUUCGUGCAGUUCUUUUCCCAGAGAAGAAGCCAUGAUGGUAUCUGGGGAAUAAGCAUUGGCUAACUCUAUGCCAGCAGCCGUGGUAAUACAGAGGACGCAAGCGUUAUCUAGAAUGAUUGGGCGUAAAGCGUUUGUAGGUAGCUUUUUAAGUCCGCCUUCAAAUCUCAGGGCUCAACCCUGGAAAGGUAGUGGAAACUACCAAGCUAGAGUACGGUAGGGGGAGAGGGAAUUUAAGGUGAAGCAAUGAAAUGCGUAGAGAUUGAAAAGAACACCAAUGGUGUAAGUACUCUGCUGGGCCAACACUGACAUUGAGAGACGAAAUCUAGGGAAGCAAAUGGUAUUAGAUACCCCAGUAAUCCUAGCCGCAAACGAUGGAUACUAGGCGCUGUGCGUAUUGACCGUACAGUGCUGUAGCUAACACGUUAAGUAUCCCACCUGGGGAGUAUGUUCGCAAAAAUGAAACUCAAAGGAAUUGAUGGGGGCCCGCACAAGCGAUGGAGCAUGUGGUUUAAUUUGAUGCAAAGAGAAGAACCUUACUAGGGCUUGACAUGCAGUGAAUCCUCUUAAAAAAGAGGGGUGCCUUCGAGAACGCAGACACAGCUGGUGCAUGACUGUCGUCAGCUCGUGCCGUAAGAUAUUGGGUUAAGUCCCAUAAUGAGCGCAACCCUCGUAUUUAGUUGCCAUCAUUGAGUUUGGAACCCUGAACAGACUACUGGUGAUAAGCCAGAGGAAGGUGAGGAUGACAUCAAGUCAUCAUGCCCCUUAUGCCCUAGGUGAUACACAUGCUAUAAUGGCCAGGACAAAGGGUCGCGAUCCCGCGAGGGUGAGCUAACCCCAAAAACCCAUCCUCAAUUCAGAUUGCAGGCUGCAACUCGCCUGCAUAAAGUCGAAAUCACUAGUAAUCGCCGGUCAGCCAUGCGGUGGUGAAUUUGUUCCCGGGCCUUGUACACACUUCCCGUCACCCUAUGGGAACUGGCUAUGCCCAAAUUCGUUACCUUAACCGCAAGGAAGGGGAUGCCGAAGGCAGGGCUAGUGACUGGAGUGAAGUCGUAACAAGGUAGACGUACUGGAAGGUGUGGCUG